GCUCUUCUGUUGAUUGCUAUGUCCCUACUCCUGUCAUUUUUUCACUGACCUGGUGAGGUGAGGGGGUGAACCCCGAAGGGCGCUUUGGUGCCAAACGCAUGAUGUGUGCUGGGCCUGACCCGCUCUGGGGGUAGCAGCAGCAGGCGGGGAGUUUGACUAGGGCAGUUAAACUGUAAUGCUGGGGCCCAAAGGUGAGCUCAGGGAGGACAGAAACCUUCUAUGGAACAGAGGGGAAAAAGCUUACUUGAUCUAGAUAUUGUUAUGUAAAAUGUGAUGAUUAUUCGUUUUGUACUGCUGAUAGCACAAAAGACGUCUCA
rnacentral:ncRNA from 1 species